rnacentral:rRNA from 1 species
GCUUAGAGAGGGGUCAAUGUCCUAUCAGCUAGUUGGCAGGGUAAUGGCCUACCAAGGCUAAGACGGGUAGCCGGCCUGAGAGGGUGGUCGGCCACACUGGGACUGAGACACUGCCCAGACUCCUACGGGAGGCUGCAGUCGAGAAUCUUUCGCAAUGCCCGAAAGGGUGACGAAGCGACGCCGCGUGUGGGAAGAAGGCCUUCGGGUUGUAAACCACUGUCGGGAGUUAGGAAAUGUAAGGGUGUUAAUAGCAUCCUUACUUGACUAAGGCUCCGGAGGAAGCCACGGCUAACUCUGUGCCAGCAGCCGCGGUAAUACAGAGGCGGCAAGCGUUGUUCGGAAUUAUUGGGCGUAAAGAGCACGUAGGCGGCUUUGUAAGUCAGUUGUGAAAGCCUUCCGCUUAACGGAAGAACAGCAUCUGACACUGCAAGGCUAGAGUGCGGAAGGG